CAGACCCAAAGAUCAGCUCAGAGCUCCAAGUCUUCCUUUCAAGAUCGGCACUGAAACCAGCCAGAGACCAACUGUGCACACUCCCUGGAUCUGGGGAUAGGACUAAAUAGACGUGGCUAAGGAGCAGACGUGCCUUCUCCUCCCUCUUGUUCCCCCAUCUGUAAUGGCUCUGAAGGUCCGUGCUGAAGUUGGCCAAGUGACAAACUGGAAGGAACCUGGAUCCCUGAAUCACCAUGUUGAAGGCCUUCAACACCAAACAUCCACAUUAGACAGAUGUAUUUCUCCAGCCUGGAGAUCUCUGGAUCUGGGGAUAGGACUAAACAGUGAUCUCCAAUAUGGGAAGAAAACAAAAAGAGAAAAAGAAAAGAAAAAACUGUCCUCCUUGGUUGGCUGGGGGCUCUACUCCACAUAGUCCUCCGAGACCCGAGGUGACAGUUGACACCACGCUGUAGCUGUACUAUCCGGAACAAGGUGCCUCCUCAAUCACUGAACAUGGGAAGAGAGAGUAAAGAAUGGC